AUACGUAGGGGGCGAGCGUUGUCCGGAAUGAUUGGGCGUAAAGGGCGCGUAGGCGGCCUGGUAAGUCUGGAGUGAAAGUCCUCUUUUCAAGGGAGGAAUUGCUUUGGAAACUAUAGAGCUUGAGUGCAGGAGAGGUUAUCGGAAUUCCCGGUGUAGCGGUGAAAUGCGUAGAUAUCGGGAGGAACAUCGGUGGCGAAGGCGGGUAACUGGACUGCAACUGACGCUGAGGCGCGAAAGUGUGGGGAGC
rnacentral:rRNA from 1 species